UGUUUAUUCAUACCCCCAUCAACAUUUGCGUGUUAGUACAGUCCGCUACCCCGCGAAAGUUUCAUAACAACUAUGGCGUCCGGAGCAGGCCGUCGUGGGAGAAAACGCAAAACUGAGGAUGAGGACGAGAAGCAGAAACCCGUCAAGGCAGCAAAAGAAGAAGCGGUGCCUGUGCUGCAAGGCCAAAGAGUGGUGAUUGAACACUGUAAGAGCUGACGAGUGUAUGGGCGUAAUGCCGAGGGGGUAAAAGCUGCCCUUUUGGCUGCACGCCCAGAACUGACUGUGGUCCUCAACCCCGAGAAGCCUCGCAGGAACAGCUUUGAGAUCACUCUCAUAGAGGGAGGCAAAGAAACACCUCUCUGGACAGGAAUAAAAAAAGGGCCUCCUCGUAAACUCAAAUUUCCAGAACCUGAUGUUGUAGUUUCUGCUCUACUGGAGGCUGUCGGUGCUGACUACCGGUAGAUGCUUCGAGAAGACUUACGAGCAAAAGUGUGAGAUACCAGCGCAAGAUGCUGAGAGCAAACAACUCAAAUCAUAACAUGCAGCAGUAAUUGUUCAUGGGUGUGGCUUGUGGAAGCAGAAUGAUGAGGAGUGACCAAACUGAAUGCAGUCUCUCCUCUGAUGAACCAAGCUUUUCCAGCUCAUGCAUAUGAACAUUUGGUGACAUCUACUGGACCAUUAUAGAACAAACACAUCCGUUACCACACUGUUGUGCGUUUGUAGUUUAGAGUACCAAGUGUGACAUUUAUGGUAUUUUUACUGUUUUUCUCCACUCUCUCGAAAUAAAAUACUUACUUUUUUGCAUUUUUUUCAUGUUAUUGGAUUGUUUAUAUGACUUGGAAUUAAGCAGUGUACACGACGAACCCAAUGCUACUUAAUGACGGAUAAUGUCGUCAAAAGACGUUUAGAUGUGCAGCAUAUCUCAACUAUCUUAAUUAUUUUUAUACUAUUAAAAGGACAUUACAAGUUUA